CCCCACCCUCUGCCACUCAGCCGACCAACCAGCUGCGGGAGCGGGCGGAGGAAGUGACACCUGACUCUACCUCCUCUCCCUCCCAUCCCCGUCCCUGGUCUCUCCCAAAGAAGUAGGUUCUUAGCCUGUGAUACAAAGGACCCCUUUGGCGGCCAGCUGGAGCCUGUGCGCUUUUCUUCAAAUAAUGGCUUUUAAAGCUCAAGACUAGAAAGUUUAGGAUUACAAAGAAAAACGGUUCUUUUCACAUACGGUUAUCCUUGUGAUGUAGCAUUUCGCUUGACAUUUGGAAGUCGUUCAAUAUCAGAGAGAAACCGUAUCUAUGAAACUAGAGAGGCUGCUCAGAUGACUGCAAACCAGCCAUCCUUACUUGUUUUAUCACUAGGAGUAUUAUAAAGACGGUCGUCCAGUUUCUUGAAUCUUGUAGGGUUUUUUUCAGAUACAGCAAUGUACAAAAAUGUGCUGCCCCAGCAGAGCACACUGGACAUUCAGGCAUGGUGCUGGAGUUUGUCGUCUCUUCACUGCCUUCUCUAGACCUUAGCGCUUACCUCAUGUUAACACUUUAUAUGCUGCGAAGACAGAAACACAGUCAUCCAAAUUUGGCAAAAAUAUUUGGGAGAAAUUUUAUUUCAGGUGUUUAACUGAUUACUUUUAAUAUGUAGACUACAACACCAAACUCUGAGAAUACUCCACAGACUUAUUAAUGGUUUCCACCCCCGUCUCUGCAAAUCUAUCAGGUGGCCACAGAGUGCAUGUGCUAUGAGGGACCCGUCCGACAUAUACCCUCCCAGAAGAGCAGGAAAGGGGGUUCAUAAAGAUGUUCUUCUGAUGGGGAGUGUCCUAUAAGGCCACCUUCACAUGGAAGGAUCGCAGCGCAUUUCGGCCAAGACAGGUGAGACUGCAGUUCUGACCUGCGGGCCUCGAUGAAUUGCGUUAGGGCACCUGGGCUCCGGGAGAGCCGUUCCACUCCGCAAAGUAAGCGUGUUAUGUCUACAACCCAACGGGGACGCGCUAAGAGCCCCAAAGGCCCUGCUUUCAUCCCAAAGAACAGCCCCCGUCUGCGUAGUUUGUACCUGGCUCUGUGAGGUGAGAACACAUUCCCCGCUAGCACAGAAAUCCUACAAACUCCUGAGGGGGCUGCGGUUAGAAGCAGACGCUGUGUAAAAGGGGACUCUGGAGGCUAGAGAAAAACACGAAAACCUUCACAGAGCGUGAGAACCCAAACGCUGGAGACCGUGGAUCAAUUUCUGCAAUAAGCAGCCUUAUGUUCAAAGGGAAGAGCUAUGCAGUCUUCGCGCUGGUUAGCCUGGGAUAAACCGGCUGACACUUCUUACUUAUCCAGCGAGAAAGACAGCGACACGCCACUUACUAUUUUGAAGGCUUCUGACUGCAACAGUAACACUUAAGGGCAUCACAAAAAACACAAACCAAUAAAAGAAAGCAGUUAUAAUUAC